UACGUAGGGGGCAAGCGUUAUCCGGAUUUAUUGGGUUUAAAGGGUGCGCAGGCGGCGAGUUAAGUCAGCGGUAAAAUUUCGGGGCUCAACCCCGACAAGCCGUUGAAACUGGCUUGCUAGAGUGGGCGAGAAGUAUGCGGAAUGCGUGGUGUAGCGGUGAAAUGCAUAGAUAUCACGCAGAACUCCGAUCGCGAAGGCAGCCUACCGGCGCGCAACUGACGCUCAUGCACGAAAGCGUGGGUAUCGAACAGG
rnacentral:rRNA from 1 species